rnacentral:SRP_RNA from 1 species
CCGUGCUAUGUGGGGAGUUAGCGAUGCCCUGUUAUCCGCAAUUCGCUUAGCGGAGCAGAAAGCUUAUUGAGGCGUGUCUCGUGGAAGGCCGCAUCCGAUAAGGGGCGUUGAUAUCAAGGUCUUGUGCAACGCGUUCCCGCAAACCGUGUCAGGGCAGGAAUGCAG